rnacentral:snoRNA from 1 species
CCGGCCUUCUGGGGAUAAUUUCUGUAGUUCAGUCCCAGAGAAGGCUCUCUGACAGUGUGGAGCACCGGAAACCACGCGAAGGAGGCACAGCAAUCUCUCUCGAGCCGGGACCCUGCUCUUAGUGUUGUUUUGUUGCGGCUGCUGUUUGCCACUGUCGAUCGAUCGUUCUCUUCUUUCAGGAGAGUAAGAAGGGGAGGGUGCAGUCUGAGUGGU